rnacentral:rRNA from 1 species
UAGCGUAAUCACUUGUUCUUUAAUUGAGGACUAGUAUGAACGGCCCCACGAGGACUACACUGUCUCCUUUUUCUAAUCAAUGAAACUGAUCUCCUCGUGAAGAAGCGAGGAUGAUUAUAUAAGACGAGAAGACCCUAUGGAGCUUUAAACAACCGGGGUACUUGCUAAUUCAUUUUAUUUCUUCUGAAAAACUAAACAAAUUAAAGCAUCUUACCCCCAAGUUUUAGGUUGGGGUGACCACGGAGAAAAAAUUAACCUCCACGAUGUAAGAAAUCCACCAUCUUCUAAGCUUAGAGCCACAUUUCCAAGCAUCAACAUAUUGACUCCUAUUGACCCAAUAAUUUGAUCAACGAACCAAGUUACCCUAGGGAUAACAGCGCAAUCUACUUUAAGAGCUCAUAUCGACAAGUAGGUUUACGACCU